rnacentral:rRNA from 1 species
UACGUAGGGGGCGAGCGUUGUCCGGAAUCAUUGGGCGUAAAGCGCGUGUAGGCGGCUCGGUAAGUCUGCUGUGAAAGUCCAGGGCUCAACCCUGGGAUGCCGGUGGAUACUGUCGAGCUCGAGUCCGGAAGAGGCGAGUGGAAUUCCUGGUGUAGCGGUGAAAUGCGCAGAUAUCAGGAGGAACACCAAUAGCGAAGGCAGCUCGCUGGGACGUUACUGACACUGAGGCGCGAAAGCGUGGGGAGCGAACAGG